CAAAUGGCUGACUAGGGUUCCGGCUCACCGAUAGUUCGAUGAGUGGCUGGUCCGAGAGUUGGCGACCUCCAGUGAGGUUACACGGCGGGAUAAAAGCCCGGGAGAA
rnacentral:sRNA from 2 species